GCCCGAGUGGCGGAAUAGGUAGACGCGCUGGACUUAAAAUCCAGUGUCAGCAAUGACGUGUCGGUUCAAGUCCGACCCCGGGUACCA
rnacentral:tRNA from 1 species